GGAGAAGGUGGGUUUAUUAAUAGGGCCCUGAAACACUUUCUUGAACAUAGUCAGAAAACAUUGCCGAUCUGUUAACAAGGCUUGUGUGAACAUGUGAGCCAAGUAUUGUUGCACUAACUGGAGUAGAGAUGCUUCCGAGAGGUGCACCUAGUUCUUGCAACAACAUGGGGGACGUGAGUGAAGCUGUUUAGCUUUGAUAUCAUGCCAUGUAACUUUUAUCAUGAAGCCAUGUUGCACUUUGUGGAGGAUCUGGUUCUGUUAACUAUUUUAUCAUGCUGUGGAACAAUUGAGACUUCAUACAAAAUUUAUGCUGCUCUCAGCUAACCAUCAAAAAGGGGAAAAUAGGCAAAACACAAAUACUUGUUGGUAUCGUUUUAAAGGGCUCCUCACCAAGCACCAUUGGAAAUUUGGUUAGACCCUAGAAGUUGUGACAUCUUAUCUAGGGAGCAUUGCACCACAAGAAUUUUCAAGAGUUUAGUAGUAGCCUAGACAUAAGCAAAUUAAAUGUCACAAGGCCAUGGCAUGUGGAGGUGAGCUGCCAUCGGCCCAUCACCCGCAAACAACAUCCCUCUCCUGCCUUCUCUGAAAGCAGAGCAAAGGGCCCAUAUGACAUUUACAUCAUCACCUCUCCUUUAUUAAUAUUUUUUCUCCCUUGUUUUGCUGCGCACUGCCAUUUAUAGGCACUUCUGCACACUCUGCAUUUCACAGGAAUCCCAGAGUUGUUUGCAUGCACUUCUGUUGGCUACCUGUGCACCAUUGAUGGAAAAUAUACCUUUGAUGAAGAAGCACCACACCAGUGAUGUCAUUUCUGCUGUAGGCAAAGGGGCCCAUUCUUUCAGGGAACCAAUGCUGACAUUCACUUUGCCGACAGCCGUGCCAAACAGUUUGCCAAACAGCAAGUUGUUUCACAGUACUACCUCCCACCACUUGUCUGGAGACAGCUGUCCAUCUUCUGCAAAAGAGUGUUCCACCAUUCUCGGUGAUUGGAAGGUAGGAAAAGUGGUUCCUGUCCAUAAAUGAGCACAAAAUGGAACUGCCUUCUCACCUCCAUCGCCACCAUCACAGACACCAAGAGCUUCAAGGGUAUCAUUAAUGAUGCCUUUUGUUAAUGUUACUUGUUUUGAAGUUGCUUUUUUAUCUGCACAAUCCUUAUAAAUUCAGUCUCCUUCCUGUAAUGCCCUUGGAGCGAGGAGAUAUGUUGAACAAAUUUUGCUAAAUAGAUAAAUAGAUAAAUAAAUAAAUAAAUAAAUUAGUAAACGUGCCUGUGUUCUGCCUAAUUCAUACUCUUAGCUUUUCAUCCCUCCACAUGUUCAAAUAAAUAUGGAUUAGAACUCCAUCACAAUAGAGACACAUAAGCUAUGAAAAAAGUAAUAUCAAUUCAUGGGGUUUAAAGUCCCAAAGCAACACUA